ACAAGCGAGUGGAACGGAGUAAACAAGAAAUAGAGCAUAGAAGUGGAAUAUCUUCUAUUUACGUGCUGGUGAUUGAGCUGGAGAUAAAGUAUCUUCCUCUCCUUUACUUACAGUCGAGCUCUAUUAACAUAGACCCUAUAGCUUAGCUCGAGUAACUACGUGCCUUUAGCUCUAGUUCAGUUACACUUAUUAACACGAAGGCUAGUGCUAGUUGAGAUCAGGGACGGACUCUAACUGCCCCGCUGGCCGGAGGGAAAAAGAACUCC
rnacentral:lncRNA from 1 species